CCGUCGACCACCAGCUCCACGCCGGCAUCCGUGUACCCGAAUCCGACCGGGACGUUCGGAACCCGGUCGAGCAAGUUCUUCGUGUGCAGGAUCUUCAGGUUCGGGUGCGUCCCGAGCCUCUCCACGAACGCGCCGUCCCCGACCCGCGGGCAGCCGAAGACGAAGGCCGUCACGGGGAGGUCGGGGACGACGUUCUCGACGAGGUCGAACGCCGAGAGCACGGCCAGCGCCGCGCCCAGGCUGUGCCCCGUCACCACUAUGCUGAGGAUUUCAUCUUUGUAUUGAUCCCGAAGCUGGAGAAUCUGGGCGCGGAGCUGCUCGCGGGCGCUGAGCUUUCCGAAUUGGGAAUUAGUGUUUGAGGAGGUGUAGAUUCUGAUCCAGCCGUCCAUGAUAUUGCCGGGGGCGUCGGGGGUGAUGGCGGACGCGGGGACGGGCGCGAUGUGGAAGUCGUCGAGCCACUCGAGGAUGGACUCGGUGCCGCGCCAGACGACGUAGACCUCGCGGCCGCGGCCGGGGAUGGUGGAGGUGGAGGUGGCGACGUAGCCCAUGAAGCUGGUCUCGCUGUAGAAGGGCAAGGGGAUGCCGAGGGUGGCGGUGGCGUAGAGGAAGGAGGAGAUCUGGUAGGCGGAGGCGGAGGGGAACUUGACCUUGCGGAAGAAGGUUUUCUCGCCGUAGCGGCUGCUGCCGACGUAGGGGGAGUUUUCGUCCCCGAUGUAGGCGUCGCCGACGCAGUGGACGAGGUCGCCGCAGUGGAGGAGGAAGCCGCGGAGGGAGAGGUCUAAGGGUUCAAGUAGGCCUUUCCAGUUGUUGCUGCCGAGGAGCUCCGCCCAUGACGGCGCUGCAACAUCGUUAAUGGUUUUUUCCAUGGCUUAGUAUAUAUAUUUUGCUUGCUCAAAUGCUUUGCUUGAUAGUUGAUAUCAUGAAAACGGUUAUGGAUAGCUAUAUAUAUAGUGUUUCAAAAAGUAAAUUAACACUUUUUAUCGCUGUUGAAAUUAGAUAUUUAGGUUAUUGAUCGAAUAAAUAUACGGUUACAUUUUUGGCAGUAUUAUAAAAUUAAAAAAGGAUCGACUUUAGAAAUUUUAUUUUCAAAUAGUAUUAUAAUAUUUUUUUAUAAAAAAUAUUUUUAAAUUAAUAGAUUGUGACAUAUAUAGUGACACACGUAAGGUUAUGGGACGCUGAAUCUCAUCCCAAAAUGAUGACCACUACUAUCUAAAAUACACUUUCAUAUUUAUCUAUUUAAAAUUUAUAAAAAGACGAUUGAAAAAUUAACUAAUUUUUGAAAAUCUAAAAAUUUAACAAAAUUUUACAAAUCUAAAUUUAAAUACAAUAGAUAAAAUAUGUAAAAGUAAAUCUUAACCCUAACAUCAAAAUUGAAAAGCCUCUACAUGCAUCCUUAGAACUUCAGUCGCCCCCCACCCCCCUCUCUACCCAGACGUCGUUGCCGGACGAGCGCCAUCACCGAUUUGCAGCCAGGUUGCGCCGUCGUCCAGAGCCACUAAAUUCCAUCGUGACGCGCCGCCAUCCAGCGCUGCCAACCACCGAUUUUGGUCUUGGUAAAGUAACCACCGAAUAGUUGUCUUGCUAUUCUUCUUCUAUAUUUUAAUUUCAUUGGUAUCAUCAAGAUGAGAGCAAUUUGUUUAUGUUCAAUUCAGACAACAAGCGACUUAUAUUGGAGAAGAAGUGUUGAAAAAGAAGUAAUCUGUUGGAUAAGAGUAUGAAAAUUGAACAAUAUUUUUUUAAGAAGUGCAAGACAUAGAACAGAUAAGAAGAAGGAAUGGAUCAAAGGAUAAAGGAAAAAGAAAGAAAAAAAGAAGAAGAAAAGAUAGAGAAAUAAGAAAAUAAUCGAACCAAAAAGAUUAGAUUGAAGAAAGAACUCUCACAGUAAAAAGAAACAAGAAGAAACGAAGAAAAUAAUUUUAUUCGUACGGAAUUUCUUAUGUUUUUAAAUUAUUUUUUGCUGUAAGUUUUGAAAAUAAAUUAAAUAACAUGGGUGAAAAUUUAAAUUAAAGGGGUAUAGUUGUCUCUUUUCUAUAAAAUUGGUUAGUAUUAACAUAUUUUUAUUUUUAUGAUUAUUAUUAAUUUUUUAUUAACCAAAAUGGUUAUUUAAAGAAAUUGACACUAUAAUAUAAGACGGUUUGUAGCCAAUAGUGAUCAAUCUUAUUUAGACGAUGACACAUAAAAUUUGAUUGUUGGUAAAAAAUUUUGGUUAAUUGCAUGUAAAUUACUGUACUUUCAAUAAAUUUUCAUUUUGCACGUGAAUUUUAAAAUCUUUAUUAAAAUUACUCAACUAUUAACUUUUUCUUAUUUUGUAUAUUUGUCUAUUUUUUAUCGUGGUGACAUGACAUAAAUAUAUUCGCUUGACAUGAAUAUGUAUGAGUAGCAUAAAAAUGGCUGUGUGAAAAAAUAGAACUGACGUUGUAAUGUAUAGUUUAAUGGAAAUGAGACUCAAAGUUGGACUGGAAAAUGAACAAAUAUGCAUAAACUAAGACGAAAUUAAUAGUUGAAUAAUUUUAAUAAAGAUUUUAAAGUUCAUGUGUAAAAUUAGAAUUUGUUGAAAAUUUCAUGUAAUUUAUAUGCAAUUAACACUAAAAAAUUUAUGGACAGACUUUGGAAAAAGAAUCCCCAUAUAAAAUCAUUAGAUUUACCCUUAAAAAAAUCAUUAGAUUUAAAAGCUAUUCGUAUAUAUAUGUCAUAAAAGUAGCUGGACCAUUAUAUGGUACCAUGUCGACGUUAUCACGUUAACAAAUUCUGCAUGACUAUUUAAUUUUUUUUUUAGGAAAUGGGAACACAAUUAGAAACUGUGAUACAUGUGGAAAUGAUGUUUUGAGUUUAUAUGAAAGGGUUAAUUGCAUAUAAAUUAUUGAACUUUUAACGAAUUCUCAUUUUGCACAUGAAUUUUAAAAUUUUUAUUAAAAUUACUCAACUAUUAAUUUAUUCUCAUUUUGCAUAUUUGUCCAUUUUUCAUCGUAGUGGCAUAGUAUAAAUAUAUUCAUUUGACAUGAAUAUGCUUGCGUAGCAUAAAUAUGAUCGUGUGGAAAAAUAAAAUUGACAUUGUAAUGUAUAAUUGGAUGAAAACGAAGUCAUUUUAGACUUAAAGUUUGGCCAAAAUAUGAACAAAUAUGCAAAAUGAGAAGAAAUUAAUAAUUGAAUAAUUUUAAUAAAAAAUUUAAAGUUCAUGUACAAAAUGAGAAUUUGUUGAAAGUUCAAUAAUUUACAUGCAAUUAAUCCUAUAUAAUUAAAAAUGUGAAUGGUGUGUUCCCAAUAGGUGGAGAUUGAAUUAAUAAAUUAGGUGGAGAUUGAAUUAUUGCCUGAAUGUGGAACGAAAAUCAAACAAAAUCUUACAAAAUUAAUAAAGUGGUGGGACUCAACCCAAAAAUAUUAGGACCAUGUAGACAUCACGUUUUUUUUUUAACUUCCAAUAAGCAUGUGUACAGUAUUUGGAGCACACAACAUAAUCAUUUUCGAAAAUCGCAAUUAUGCAUUAAUUAAUUUAAUUUACAAUAUGCUCAACUGAUGUGUGUAUUUUAGCUACUUUGUUUGGUGUGUGUUUUGCCAUAAUUUUAUACUCCCUCCGUCCACGAAAUGAGUACCCAUUUGUGGACGGCACGGGUUUUAAGAAAUGUAUGGAGUGUAGUGUGAAUAGUUAAAGGGUCCCACUUUUUGAGUGUAUUAAUUAAAGAGAUGUGUGGGGUACACUUGCCAAAAAGGGAAAUGGGUACUCAUUUCGUGGACGGACGAAAAAGGAAAUAUGGGUACUCAUUUCGUGGACGGAGGGAGUAUGAUUUUACAUAGUUUGUGAUAUUUUGGCGCAGUAAUUAGAAGGAUUGAAGAUGGAUGCUCGUGGAUGGAAGAAAUAUGGAAAGACGUGGAUUUGAUGAAGAUGACGUGGAUUUGAAAGAUGUUUAGAGAUUUGCCUUGGAAACAAUUGUUAUAAUUUUAUUAAGCUCAAAACUCUUGUUUUAAUUUAAUUUGGGCUUAAGAUAGGAAAAAGGGGCCGAAGCCCAUGUUCUUGAGAUUAGGCGGCAUUGUGGGAAUGAUCCCUUAUUUUAUUUUUAAUACCUAGCCGCCUACUAUUAGGAGAUAUAUUAGGAUUAGUUUAUUUUAUAUAUUUUUUAACUUAAGCACUAGGACUCUAGCUUUUGAGGGGACCGCAAUUUUGGAAGAUUAGAUAUAACUAGUUGACUUUGAUUAGGAGAGCAACAUAUUUNUUUUACUUUUGAUCGGUACGUUUUGGGCAUGCAAUUUUUAGUUAGUGAUUUUUAUUUCUUAUAGCUUUGGAAUUUGGGAGAUUGCGGGGGGAGUGUUCUUCAACUUGGCAGACGAUUUUUUUAUAUAUUUGUGGUGACUUAUUAUCAAUUCCAUUUUUGUUUUAAUUCGUUACUUUAAUUUUUUCAAUUUGAAGUUUUGGUUAAUUUCUUUCUAUUGCAGUUAUUUGUUUAUCGUAUUUGAUUAUUAUCAUGUUUGCUUUUAUUUCUUUGAUUGUUAAUUUAAUUAUGAGUAACUAAACUUUCAAUUCGGCGAGAUAAUGAAGCAUUAAUUUAAUAAUCUGUGAGACCUAAUUGAGCAUAAAAUUGAUUCCUAUUAAUUUCGAUUAAUUCAUGGGGUUUAAAGAUAAUUCCGAUUUUAUUUAAGUCUGGCCAACUUAGGUUUAAUUGGAUUACAGUCAAUUAGCACCUCCAAUCCGUAAUUGUUGGAAUAUGGCUGAUUAGUGAUAAAACUAUCAUGUUCGUAGUAGGAAUUAAUUGGUAUAUUAAUUAUUACUAGCGUAUCUAAGAUAAUUGAUAUAAAUUGGGUUCCUUCAUCUUAAUGCUAUUAGAAUAUUAAAUCUAAGACGGGCGUAUCCAGCUAGGUUAUAUUUUAAUAAGGGAAAUAGGCAGGAUUAACGUAUCUAGCCGUCUAUCGACACAGUAAGUAGGAAUUGGGGUAUGUCAGUGCGUAUCACGGUAUCCUAUAACUAAUUGGUUAAUAGGGAUUAAUUAAUUAUUGCGUCGAUGAGCAGAGCUUUGAAUUAGUGUGGAUUUAUUUGAGUCGAAUUAUCUUUCUAUUGAUAUUUUUCUAGAGUCUUUUAUUUGAUUUAAUUUGUUUUCUUAGUUAAUUAAUAUUUUCUCAAAAUUCAAGGCGUGGUGGCAUCACCAAAAUUUAUAAAUUUUAGGGAAUUGAAUGAUUUUACCUGCUCUCUGUGGGAUCGACUCUGCUUAUCAUCAUACUAAUUUGUUUUGAUAAUUCUGUAGGAAUUAUUUGGUGGUAUACGACGUCCACUAUCAACCCUUAUCAAAACAGCUGUGAAAGAUGAAAAUAACUAAAACAAAACGAAGUUAGUAUUUAUUUAUUUCUCUCCAAGUUAAUAUAUGCUUUCGUUCUGAUUAAUGCUCUAAUUAAGUUCCAAUUAAUUUAUUUAAUUGUGAUUAUUUGGUUUCAAAUAGUUUAUCAUUGUAAUUAGGUUUGUGUUACUAUAACUUUAAGGAGCGUUUACUUUACUUGAUUAAUAAUAAGAUGUAUGAUUGAGUAUUUUUAUCCUCAAUAUAAUAGGAUUUCUCCAAUUCUACAUUUUUAAUGGAAUAAAAAUAAAAUAAAAUUAACUUAAAUGAUAAGAAUAAUCAAGGGUCUUGAGAUACCCUAAAAUUUCAAUUCAUCAAAAUAAAUAAAAAUAUCUCAUUAUUUUUAUCCUAUCAAAAUUAAUCCCUUAAACUAAACGCUCCUAGGAUAAUUUUCAAUAUCAAAUAAUUAGUCUAGCUAGACGGUGUUGUAUGUAGUCAAUGGAAUAAAGAGGAGUUUUAUAGAUUACUAUAAUAAUUAAUUGGUUGUGCAUGUCUCUUCUAUUUCUUUUUGUUUCUGUUUCUUUUGUUGUUAAUUUAGAUGUUGUUAAUAUAUCUGUAAUUAAAUAUUGAGCGUUUAUUUUGCAUAAUUAAGUAUUUUUAUCUUUAAAAUUAUGAUUUCUUUAAAAUCAACUUUUUAAUGGAAUAAAAAUUAAAUACAAGUAGCUCAAAUAAUUAAAAUAAUAAAGAUCGAUAUAUCUUAAAAUAUUCCUCAAAAUAUUAAUCCUCAAAAUAAACUCCUCUAAUUAUUGAUGGAGUGUAUGAGGCAGCUUUGAUCAUGAGGGUGGAUCAUGGAUGGACAUCGACAGUGACUAGGAUCCCAAAUUUUGGGGCCCAAUAAUCUAAAAUAAAUAUAUAUAUAUAUAUAUAUAUAUAUAUAUAUAUAUAUAUAGCUAUACAUAUUAAUGUUGUAAUGUAAUGAAUUGACUAUAGGGUAAAUAUCUUAAAAAACCCCCUGAAGUAUACCCGCUUUAUCAAAAAAAACCCUGAAAACUUUCAAAAAUGUUCUCUAAACCCUCAAAUUAUCAGAUUUUUAUCAAAUAUAUCCCGCAUUUAUUUUCCGAUCACCAAAGACGUGAUGUGGCUCGCCAGAUGCCACAAUGUAAUUUAUAUUUAGUUUUUUUUAAAUGCAAUGGCAAAAACGACGUCAUUUCGUACCAUAUUAUUUUAAAAAAAUUCACUCUGAAAUUUAAAAUUGACUCCUAUUGUGUUUGAAAUUCAUACUAAUAACCUACAAUUAGGGAUAAACGCGGUAGAAUAUGAUAUGAAACGAAGUCGUUUUUUCCAUGUCAUUUUAAAAAAAUAGAAUAUAAAUUACACUGUGGUAUUUGGCGAGCCACAUCACGUCUUUGGUAACCGAAAAAUAAAUGCAGGAUAUAUUUGAUAAAAACCUGAUAAUUUGAGGGUUUAGAGAACAUUUCGAAAGUUUCAAGGUAUUUUUGAUAAAAUGGGUAUAGUUCAGGGAUUUUCAUGAUAUUUAUCCUUGACUAUAUAUGUAUAUAUUCGUAAUUUUCAAAGUGGAUGAAUUUUGUACUUCCUGCAUUAAUGAAAGAUAGUCUCGUUUAAUAGUGAAUAUAAAUUUUAGUAAAAUUGAUAUAAGUAAAACAAAUGCACAAUUUAUAAGUAUAAUAUUUAACUGAGUAUACGGUUACAUUGGACAAUAUUAUAAAAUUAAAAAAGAAUGGACUUGUUAAUAUGAAAAGGAAAAAAUGUUUGAUUGCUUUAAAUAAAGCAUCUCGCAACAUAAAUAAAAUGGCUGGGUGUUUAGAANAAAAAAAUUAAAAAAAACGCAAAAUAAAGGAAAUGUUUUGGCAACAUAAAUAAAAGCAAAGACGACGUUGUUCUUGUGAGGCUCAAACGACCCCAUUUCGUACAAUUUUAUAUUAAAUUUUCUCCAAAUUAGAAAGGGAUUGUAUUGUGUAUUUGCACCAUAAUUUUUAAUAUUUAACAAUUUUAUUGCAAUUAAACUACGUCGUAACAUGAAUAUUACGUGGAAAACACGAUCAGAUCAUCACAUUCAAUGAAUCCACUCUUCCAUGUUCCUGUAAUAUUCCCUGCUUCCCUGUGUACUACGGCAUGAACAUCACUUCCAUCACGAGUUCUAUUACUUUUAGAAUGCAAUCUAAGAAGAUCAAUCGAGCGUAGGGAAAAGGACCGAUCCACUCUAUUAUAUAACAAAAACGGUUAUAAAUUACUGAACAUUCAACAAUAUUUCAUUUUGCACAUGAAUUUUAAAUUUUUUAUUAAAAUUACUCAACUAUUAAUUUCUUCUCAUUUUGUAUAUUUGCCUUGCUCGCUUGACAUUAAUUAAAAAAAGGGUAAAUUGCAUAAUAAGUCACGAACUUUGAUUCAUUUUUUUAUUUCAACAUCACUUUUAAACAUUUGCAAAUAAGUAUAAAUUCUUUUAAGUUUUUGCAAUUGGAGCUUCUUGUCCCAAUUUACGGUCUCGUUUUCUCUAUUUUUUCUUGCAAUUAGUUGUGUUAUUAUUAUUAUUAUAAUUUAUUUAUUUGUAUAUAUCUCCACAUACAAUAUGUUCACUUGCUUCUCUCGUGUCGUUAAUGUCGUAGUUCAAGAGGUGCAAAUAUUUGGGGAAGCUCCGAUUGCAAAAAUCUAAAAGAAUUGGUAUUUAUUUGCGAAUGUUUAAAAAUGGUGUGGAAAUUGAAAAUUGAGGCAAAGAUCGUGCCUUAUUUUGCAAUUUACCCAAAAAAAUCACUAGAUUUAAAAGCUAUUCGUAUAUAUAUGUCAUAAAAGUAGCUGGACAAUUAUAUGCAUGGUACCAUGUCGACGUUAUCACGUUAACGAAUUCUGCAUGACUAUUUAAUUAUUUUUUUACGAAAUGGGAACACAAUUAGAAACUUUGAUACAUGAAAGGGUUAAUUGCAUAUAAAUUAUUGAACUUUUAACAAAUUCUUAUUUCGCGCAUAAAUUUUAAAAUUUUUAUUAAAAUUACUCAACUAUUAAUUUUUUCUCAUUUUGCAUAUUUGCCCAUUUUUUAUCGUAGUGACAUGGUAUAAAUAUACUCAUUUGACUUGAAUAUGUUUGCGUAACAUAAAUAUGAUCGUGUGGAAAAAUAAAAUUGACAUUGUAAUCUAUAAUUGGAUUAAAACGAAGUCAUUUUAGACCCAAAAUUUGGCCAAAAAAUGAACAAAUAUACAAAAUGAGAAGAAAUUAACAGUUGAAUAAUUCAAUAAAGAUUUUAAAGUUCAUAUGCAGAAUAAGAAUUUGUUAAAAGUUUAAUAAUUUAUAUGCAAUAAACCCUGUAUAAAAAUGUGAAUGGUGUCGCCAAGGGGACACUGAGAGGUGUGAAGUAUGAACUCAUGUGACAUGUCUAAGAACAUUGAAGUCCAGGGAUCAAACCCCACCGCUCCCCCUCCUCCAAAGUAAAAAAUAAAAAUAAAAAUGUGAAUGGUGUGUUCCCAAUAAAUUGGGUGGAGAUUGAAUUAUUGCAUGCAUGUGGAACGAAAAUCGAACAAGAUCUUAAAAAAAUAAAGUGAUGGGGUUGAACACAAAAAUAUUAGGACCAUGUAGACAUCACGUGUUUUUAACUUCCAAUAAGCAUAUGUACAGUAUUUGGAGCACACAACAUAAUCAUUUUCAAAAAUCGCAAUUAUGCGUUAAUUAACUUUAUUUACGAUAUGCUCAACCCUUAUCAAAGCAGCUGUGAAAGCGGAAAAUAACUAAAACGAAAAGAAGUUAGUAUUAAUUUAUUUCUCUCCAAGUUAAUAUAUAUGCUUUCGUUCAAAAUAUAUCAAAUCAAUACAUAAGAUUUUGACAACAUAUUUUUAAAGGNAAGCAGCUGUGAAAGCCGAAAAUAACUAAAACGAAAAGAAGUUAGUAUUAAUUUAUUUCUCUCCAAGUUAAUAUAUAUGCUUUCGCUCAAAAUAUAUCAAAUCAAUACAUAAGAUUUUGACAACAUAUUUUUAAGGAUUAAUUGCCCCUAAAUACACAAAAUUUAACUGGAUUUUAGAAUUACACAUCACCUUAUAAAAUUUGCUCUAUAAUACAUCACCUUUCACUUUUUUCAGACUCUUCCCAUGACCAAAAACCCCCAAUCGUGAAAAUGACGUGAAAAUCGGAAAUUUACACGUAAUCACAUCGGAACACCUGGACAAAUGACGUGUCACCCAAAUUUCAUUUUUUUUUUCAAAUCAGCUAGCUUUUACUUUCUGGCAUGGGAGGAAAAUAUAAAUGAGAUUCUACUGAUUUAUUGGGCUACCCUAUGCUCACUCCAUAUUUUGAAGCAUGAAAUUCAUAGAUUUGUCAAUCAAGUUGGAGGCAGUAGCCACUUGAGCUAUUAGGUCUCUUACUGCUUUAUAUUUUUGCAAACUCGUUGCUGCUAUAUUUUCCUCCAAAGUCAAGAUGCUGACAUAUAUAGCAGCAGAUAAAAAUUAGGGCUGCUUUGAAACAAUGGCUGCGUCGAAAACGAAUGGAAGAAGGGGAAGAAUUCCUAUUACUUUCUGAAAAGCUAGUAUGCUACGACACACUCGAUUGUACCCAAAUUUUUGUGUUUGUACUCACAUAAUGCCUCACGUAUUUGGUAGUGUCAUUAUUUUUCGACACAUUUUAGAUGAAAGACCAUUGUAUAUUUAGGUAUCAUUUUUAAAACACUUUGUUUUGUUUACGGAGUAUAGUUUCUUUAUAAAUAUGCAAUAUCUGGAUCUGUUGGUCCUAAUCUGGAGUCGGUCUUGUAGAAAUUGAACCGCUUCUGAUGAUCUGCACUCCCCAUUUUGUAGGUUUCUUCAGUCUUUAAUCAUAGGUAAAAUCUUCAAAACCCUAGCUCCAUGUGUCCCAAUUUGAUUUCAUUGCUGGCCCCGCCUUUUUUUCCCCUUCUUUGAAAUCUCUAAUUAAACAAGUGCAUUUAUACUAUUUGCAUUUAAAUUUUAAUCCUUCAUAUCCANNNNNNNNNNNNNNNNNNNNNNNNNNNNNNNNNNNNNNNNNNNNNNNNNNNNNNNNNNNNNNNNNNNNNNNNNNNNNNNNNNNNNNNNNNNNNNNNNNNNNNNNNNNNNNNNNNNNNNNNNNNNNNNNNNNNNNNNNNNNNNNNNNNNNNNNNNNNNNNNNNNNNNNNNNNNNNNNNNNNNNNNNNNNNNNNNNNNNNNNNNNNNNNNNNNNNNNNNNNNNNNNNNNNNNNNNNNNNNNNNNNNNNNNNNNNNNNNNNNNNNNNNNNNNNNNNNNNNNNNNNNNNNNNNNNNNNNNNNNNNNNNNNNNNNNNNNNNNNNNNNNNNNNNNNNNNNNNNNNNNNNNNNNNNNNNNNNNNNNNNNNNNNNNNNNNNNNNNNNNNNNNNNNNNNNNNNNNNNNNNNNNNNNNNNNNNNNNNNNNNNNNNNNNNNNNNNNNNNNNGUUUAUUAUUAGUAAUACAAAGCAUGAACGAAACAUACAAAUUAUUACGACACGUACGAUUAUGCAAUAGAAACACAAAUUGGCAAUAGUAGAGGAUAUGAUCACUCCGGCACGGCGGGGCAAUCGUCGUCGUCGUCGUCGAGCGGCGGCUUCAACACCCACUCCCCGUCCUGAUCAAGCAUCAUCCCCUUAUUCUCCGCCACCCACCACGACGCCGGGAUCUGACACUCUUUAGUCAGUAAGUUACUCGCCUUAUUCACCAACGCCAAGCUCCUCUUCACCACCACCUCGAACUCCCCCUCCUCCCCGUGCCACCCCGCCACCGCGUGUAGUAUCCCCUGCAAAUUAUGAAAGUCCCCAGCAUUAUCCGUCGGAGUCAGCGACGGCGACUUGCUGCCGUCGACCACCAGCUCCACGCCGGCCGCCGUGUACCCGAAUCCGAACGGGAGGUUCGGAACAAUGUCGAGCAAGUUCUUCGUGUGCAGGAUCUUCAGGUUCGGGUGCGUCCCGAGCCUCUCCACGAACGCGCCGUCCCCGACCCGCGGGCAGGCGAAGACGAUGGCCGUCACGGUGAUGUCGGGGACGACGUUCUCGACGAGGUCGAACGCCGAGAGCACGGCCAGCGCCGCGCCCAGGCUGUGCCCCGCCACCACUAUGCUGAGGUUUUCAUCUUUGUAUUGAUCCCGAAGUUGGAGAAUCUGGGCGCGGAGCUGCUCGCGGGCGCUGAGCUUUCCGAAUUGGGAAUUAGGGUUUGAGGAGGUGUAGAUUCUGACCCAGCCGUCCAUGAUAUUGCCGGGGGCGUCGGGGGUGAUGGCGGACGCGGGGACGGGCACGAUGUGCGCGUUGUUGAGCCACUCGA
rnacentral:lncRNA from 1 species